AACGACUCUCGGCAACGGAUAUCUCGGCUCUCGCAUCGAUGAAGAACGCAGCGAAAUGCGAUACUUGGUGUGAAUUGCAGGAUCCCGCGAACCAUCGAGUCUUUGAACGCAAGUUGCGCCCGAAGCCUUUCGGCCGAGGGCACGUCUGCCUGGGUGUCAUUC
rnacentral:rRNA from 1 species